rnacentral:rRNA from 1 species
UACAGAGGGUGCGAGCGUUGUUCGGAAUUAUUGGGCGUAAAGCGUGCGCAGGCGGUUUUGUAAGCCAGAUGUGAAAGCCCCGGGCUUAACCUGGGAAUGGCAUUUGGGACUGCAAGGCUUGAGUGCGGCAGAGGAGACUGGAAUUCCUGGUGUAGCAGUGAAAUGCGUAGAUAUCAGGAGGAAUACCGAUGGCGAAGGCAGGUCUCUGGGCUGACACUGACGCUCAUGCACGAAAGCGUGGGGAGCAAACAGG